rnacentral:rRNA from 1 species
AACGAACGCUGGCGGCAGGCCUAACACAUGCAAGUCGAACGUGAAGCCACCUUCGGGUGGUGGAAAGUGGCAGACGGGUGAGUAACGCGUGGGAACGUGCCUUUCGGUUCGGAAUAACCCAGGGAAACUUGGGCUAAUGCCGGAUACGCCCUCCGGGGGAAAGAUUUAUCGCCGAAAGAUCGGCCCGCGUCGGAUUAGCUUGUUGGUGGGGUAAAAGCCUACCAAGGCGACGAUCCGUAGCUGGUCUGAGAGGAUGAUCAGCCACACUGGGACUGAGACACGGCCCAGACUCCUACGGGAGGCAGCAGUGGGGAAUAUUGGACAAUGGGCGCAAGCCUGAUCCAGCCAUGCCGCGUGGGUGAAGAAGGCCCUAGGGUUGUAAAUCCCUUUCAGCGGGGAAGAUAAUGACGGUACCCGCAGAAGAAGCCCCGGCUAACUCCGUG